rnacentral:lncRNA from 1 species
UUGUCUCCAGACGACGAUGAAGACUUUCAGCCCCUGUUGGAAAUCAUCGACAAUCUGAAGGAAAAAGUUGGCGAUCCCAGGCAUUUAUCAGACUUCAGUGCUAAGAGUUUUAUUCCAAGGGACAAGGCAGGUUUUUACAGAUAUCAUGGCUCCCUUACCACUCCUGGAUGCAAUGAGGGCAUUAUCUGGACUGUAUUCACUAGCACCCUGCCUAUUUCCAAAAAGCAGGUGAAAAUCUUCGAGGCACUUCAAACAGAGGAAAAGAUGCCCCUAAUAAAAAACUACAGAUCUUUGCAGCACCUCAAUGGACGCACUCUCUACUUGAGAGUGAGCCCCAUUAGGGAAAAUGGAGCCAAUCAUCAACAGGCUCCAGUUUUGUUAACUUUGGUGCUGCUCAGCCUUAUCUCGCUCUCUUAUAUAAGCUGGUAAGUCACAUGAAGAUUGGUCGAUGUUGGGUACAAAAAAUUCCAAAGAUUGAUUUUUGCUUGUUGACACCUCAAGAGUAAGAGUGGCAUCGUUUGGGAACUUAUAUACGUAAUAUUGUGAUAAGUUUAGUUUAAGCUAAAAGCGAAAUGUGUCUUUAUAGUUUUCGACUAAGUUAAUCGACUAUUUUAAUACUUUUUAGAGUUAGUACUUAAUAAGCAUUAAUAAUGCUAAAGGGAAAGUUCUGAAACUUCUUGCAACAGUGACAUGUUAAACUAGCUCAAUACAAAGGCUUUCGGCCAAAAGACAUAUCGAUAAUAGUUUUAUUUUGCAGAUAAUUGAUUGGAAAAUAUGUAGACAUGUAGACGAACAGUAAUUUUAAGAGAGCUAAAUAUUAAAUGUAAUUUUAAUUUUUGUAUUAAAUAAUUAAGAAGUA